CUACGGGCGGCAGCAGUGGGGAAUAUUGCACAAUGGGCGCAAGCCUGAUGCAGCCAUGCCGCGUGUAUGAAGAAGGCCUUCGGGUUGUAAAGUACUUUCAGCGGGGAGGAAGGGAGUAAAGUUAAUACCUUUGCUCAUUGACGUUACCCGCAGAAGAAGCACCGGCUAACUCCGUGCCAGCAGCCGCGGUAAUACGGAGGGUGCAAGCGCUAAUCGGAAUUACUGGGCGUAAAGCGCACGCAGGCGGUUUGUUAAGUCAGAUGUGAAAUCCCCGGGCUCAACCUGGGAACUGCAUCUGAUACUGGCAAGCUGGAGUGUCGUAGAGGGGGGUAGAAUUCCAGGUGUAGCGGUGAAAUGCGUAGAGAUCUGGAGGAAUACCGGUGGCGAAGGCGGCCCCCUGGACGAAGACUGACGCUCAGGUGCGAAAGCGUGGGGAGCAAACAGGAUUAGAUACCCCAGUAGUC
rnacentral:rRNA from 1 species